UCUUUUGUGGCCUAGUCGGUAGCGUGUCUGGCUCGCAACAGAAGGAUCGUGGGUUCGAAUCCCGCCUGAAGGC
rnacentral:tRNA from 1 species